rnacentral:lncRNA from 1 species
UCAACAGUACGAUGCCGUGUCCGUUGAGGAGGGCCUUCCUCACGGCGCGAUGCCCGUGUCCGCUGAGAGAGGCCUCUCUCGCGGCGCGAUGCCAGUAUGCCAGUAUGCCAGUGUUACAGCGUCUAUUGGGGGAGGCCUCCCUCAAUAGUACGAUGCCGUGACCGCUGAGGGAGGCCCCCUUCACGGCGCGAUGCCCGUGUUCGUUGGAAAAGGCCUUCUCCACGACACGAUGCGUGUUUAUGAUUGUUAAUGACGAAGAAUGCCCUUAUGCUAUUUAUGAAUUUGGAAAUGUUUAAUGAGUAAAGGAUAUGAAAGAAACUCAUGCCUCUUAUGCGAUAUUGUAAAAUUUUUAAUGAUGUUAUGUUAUAUGCUUGGCAACUGCCCACUAAGUACUUUUGUACUUAGCCCUUCGAUGUUUAUGAUUGUGCAGGUUGAGCUGUGAUGGGCGAUGAAGUAUUGCUGAGUGGAGUUUUUGUCGAACUUAAAGUAGGCUCAGAAAGGAUACAUGUCUUCAUACAUGUAUCUCAGUUAUGCUUUCCGCUGUAAACCCUGAUUAUUUCAGUUACGCCUUCCGUUGCAAACUCUGAUAAUGUUUUAGCCAAGCCCCUAACGAUGCCUUUUUUCUUUUUAAGGAAUAUUUCACGCGUAUUCAAGCUUUUUGAGUAUUCUUUUAUGCGCCCCUUUCUAAACCCGCUUCUUAAUUUCCCUUCCCCAGUCAUGGUUUUCCCGGAUUAAUUAUCCUUAAUUAAGGCCGGUCGUGACAG